rnacentral:rRNA from 1 species
GCGCAACCUGCCCAGUGAUUUUUAAGUAAAAAGGAAUAAAACCCUUAAAAAAAAUUAAAAGGACGCAGUAAACUGACUGUGAUAAUGUAGCAUAAUCACUCGCCAUUUAAUUGAUGGAUAGUAUGAAAGGUUUAACGAAUCCCUCACUGUCUCGAAAAAAGAGUCUUUGAAACUAAAAUAGUAGUUAAGAUGCUACUUAAAAUUGUAAGACGAAAAGACCCUAUAGAGCUUAACUAUA